rnacentral:tRNA from 1 species
GAUUAAAUGGCUGAAAUGUUAGGCGGUAAACUGUAAAUUUAUUUAUGAGAAUUUUCUCUUUAAUCA